AUUCUUUGCAAUGAGGGGGGGGAGGCCCUGGCCCGGGUUUCCCAGGGAAGUGGUGGCUGCCCCAUCCCUGGAGGUGUUCAAGGCCAGGUUGGAUGGGGCUUGGAGCAACCCUGAUCCAGCAGGAGGUGUCCCUGUCCAUGGCAGAGGGUGGGACUGGAUGGGCUCUGAGAUCCCUUCCAACCCAAACCGCUCCAUGACUCUAUGAUAACUUUAAUUAGUUAAAAAGGUGAAAUAAUUUAAGAGGAUAAAAACCCCUUUUGGUUUUCACUGAAGUUUCUAAAGCCCAGAGAGAGAAGAGGAACAGUCGGCAGCAUAAGCUUCUUCCUCAUAGUUAGAUAACUGUUUUUCCUUAUAAACUGUAGCUAAGGACAAGUAUGUGGUAACAUUUAAAUGCGGUUGUAGCUCUCUCCCAGAGAUGACUCAGAUAUUUACUACAGAAGAUAAUUUCUCAGAUCUUAGAAGCUCUACACAAACCCGCAAGCCCACGCUGUUCUGAGUCGGGUUUCCCUGUAUCACACGUUAAAUACUUAAAACAGCCAAACCCACCCCCUAAACCCAUGUUUAUUUCAACCACGCAGGCACGGCCGUGUGUUCCGGCUGUGCCACGAGGCCUCUCGCCGCAGCCAGGUGUGGCGAUGACUCAGGGCGCAGCGGCUGCUCCAGACGGCGAAACCGCCACGGCAGGAGUCAACUUGCUCCUCCGGAGAGCAGUUCGGACACGUUAUGCCUUACCGCGACAAGAAAACAGCAAGCGCUGGCCCAGCAACAGAGGGUUGGAAAUGGGGUUAGGUGAAUGAUUAAACGUUAAAGGAGUCAGCGGGAAAUUUUCUAGUGAGUUCAUACAUAGCUGUCUCACGUUUGACGUCACGGAGAAGGAGAGCAGGGGCUGCUGGAGGAAACCAAGGGAGUGUUUUUCAGGGUGUGCAGAGGGAUGUGGAGGGGAUGUGACCUUGUAAUCCUGCUUGUCAACACCCCUGGUUCAGGGGUUGUUACCUAGUCACAAAACAGGUAAUUUCAUUCUUUUUGCCUGCAGAUUUCCCCAUGUUUCUGUUUUGCCAGAGGUGAUUCUUCGCCCCCUCCCCUGGCGCUUGAGGCUGGUGGUGAGCUGAGCCCUCCAGACACUUUGGGACUUGAGGAGUGCUAAAACACAUCAAACUUGUUCAAAUCCACCCAUCACUAUUCCAAAGGGGCACUGAUUUUAUCUCCUUUUGAAGCAUGCAGAUCUUUUUCUUCUGGUUGCAGGUUCUUUCUUUUGACUGUAAUCCCUGUGCUGCGUGCCCAGCCUGUCCCCGCUGAGACGCCCUCCUUGCUGCUGCACGUGUUAUUUGUGCAGUGAUCCAACCAUGGGACUGAGCUCCUCCAGUGCCAGCACUCUCCGACUGUUCCGGGGAAGCAGAAGGGAGACUGUGGAAGUCAGCUGUGUCCAAAAGCAGGGAGGAGAGGGAGACAGCUGAGGAUGCAGGACAAACCAUGUGAGCUCUGUGCCCAGCUCAGAGGUGCCUGAACUGGGUGCCAGAGAGUGUGACCUGAGAGAGGACCCUGGACUUGGGCAGGAAAACGAGUGCUGUGACGCUCAGGAUAAAGCCACUGCCACAAACCCACCUGGUACCACAGCACCGGUGAUGCUGCCGGGCCAGACCCACACCUGCUGUGGCACAGGACUGCUUUUCACUCACACCGCCACUAUUUUCCAGUCCUCCUUUGCUGCAGGAGUUCUUCCUACACAUUUGUUUCUACUUGAGCUUCCCAUGGCUUUUGGGGACUGAAGUCUCAAAACAAGCAGGAGAAGAAGUUGCAUCCCCUUUUUUACAGACAGCAGUUGUUGAGGAGCACUGACCUGCUCAGGAGCUGCCUGAGAGCAAAGGAGAGGAGGCACAGCAGAUGUGACCAGUUCUCAGACAGGCCCGGUCGGACAGCGGGGAACGGAGAAGCCAGGAGCAGGCAGCCCUGUGUUCCGUUAGUGUUUGUUCGGCAUGCCAGGCUGACUUCAGCUUAGCAGAGAGUAGGAAGGAUGGCUGUCUGCUCGCUCCUUCACCUUGCUCUGAAACAGAUGGACUUACUUAGCGUGAAGCUGUGUCUGAUUUGCCCUGGUAUUUCCCCUGGUUCUGCAGGACAGGAUGUCAUGGUGAGUGGGUAAGAUCUGACACACACGUCACUGAAAAGCUGACCAUCAGGCCAUUGCAGCAAGGCUAACACAUCACGAUUGCUGGGAUCAGAUUAGGCAGCACCAGUAAAAUGUGCUGUAACUCACUGAUUCUGUGUCCUUCUGUAGAUCCAAAGCAAGAUUAAAUUGCCACCACGUGGACAGCAGUGCUUCACAGAGUACUCAAAAGCAGUAGAAGCUGGCUUUGUGCUUUUUUAAGGAAUGCUCUUGCCUCAUGCCGAGCAGACAAUAAGCAUUUGCACAGCAAGGAAAUUCCAGACAGGUGAGAUGAAGUUAAUCUUCUGCCAAUGCUCAAAUAAGGCAAGUAGAAUUAUUAGACACUUAGCGCUAUCUCGGCAUAACUUAUGCAAGGGAAAAAGUGAUUACUAAGUGUGAAUAAUGAACCUGUUUAACUUUGGGAAGAUAAAGCAGCUCUUUAGAGAAAUGAAUUGCUGUGAACAGGCAUGGGCAAAACAGGUCUAUCUCAAAUGUGUCAAAAAUCGGAAAGACUGAUGACAUUUGAACUACUCAGAAAUGCUCUCGCGGUGGUUGGAGAUCUGGCAGGGGGGUCACUUGGAAUGCAAAGGCAUUUUAAAUCAUAUAAUCACAGAAUGGUUCGGGACCUCACAAGCCCAUCCAGUUCCACACCCUGCCAUGGGCAGGGACACCUCCCACUGGAUCUGGUUGCUUCAAGCCCCAUCCAACCUGGCCUUGAACACCUCCAGGGAUGAGGCAGCCACAACUUCUCUGGGCAACCUGGGCCAAGGCCUCCCCCCCCUCACCGUGAAGAAUUUCUUCCUAAUGCCUAAUCUAAAUCUUUCUCCUUCCAAUUUAAAGCCAUCCCCACUUGUCCUAUCAUUACAUGCCCCUGUAAAAAGUCCCAGUAAAUUACAAGUCUGAAAUGUGUUAAAUUAUUAAUUAAAUCACUGAUCAAAAUAUCAAAUAGUUAUCACCUACCAACAUAUCGUCCCAGACUAUCUCAGUAGGAUUUUUAGUGGGGCUUGUGCCUUGGCCACCAUGCCUUUUCAGAAUGCUUUUCCAUAUCAAUCCAAUUCUACUCCGUUGGUCUGUACAGAAGCAUCAUUAGCAGAACAGCCCUGCUUACAGAGACUGAGGCUGCAAUAAAACCAGCCGGAGGAGGAAGUCAUCAGUCUUCUUGAGUAGCCAUUUAUGUCCAUACAGAGCAGAUGCAACCAAAAGCCCCAGCUGACUUAGCAGCAUCCCACUGGCUUUGUGCUUCACAUAAAGUAACUGCCCAUGGUACAUGAUCAGCAAGAUCCAAGUCCAGGCUGUGCUUGCACAACAAGAUUUCUAUCUUGCAGCUGUCAGCUGAUGAAGCUGAAUUCCUUCCUUGCAGUCAUGCUGCAGCAUGGAGGACACACCAAAGCAAUCAACAACUGGUUUGAUAGUUUACCUGCUGGGCUUCCCCGGCGCUCGGGAAAACUUUGGACAGUUUCAGGUAAAUAGACUUUAUCUGUAACAGUGGAAAGAACUGACUGAGAAGCAACUUCCUAAACCAGACUUUGGGACUCAAGCAGCUGCAUCUGUGUGCCCCAUCAUGGAACCGCGGCUACUGCCCUCAAAGUUAACUCAGAAUGAUAUCAAACUUCCCACUGCUGGUUUCAGAGAAAUCAGAUGCCAGAGCGUGCUCAACACUUAUGUGUCACAGCUGAUGCAUCUUUCUGGGUGAAUAACCCUCCAGCUCUUGAGAACUUGGAAUUCUGAAGUCAAAAUGUUUCCUUUAAUUUAAGACCUCCUGCUGUAUGUGCAACAAGUAGUCUUUUUGCCUGGAAACUUGUGAGAACAGCUAGGGCCUUGAGCCCAAAACUGGUUUUCCCUCCCUAAUCUCCUAGGGAAUAGGAAGAGAUUUGAGAAGAGCAUGUGGAAAGCUUGGAAACCCCCCUGGUGUCCCAUUAAACAGAUAUUACAAGGUACAUGACUAUAGCAUUUUGUCUCUCAGCAAAGCACUUUUGUCCACCGGUCACUCCAUUAUAUCUUCAGUUUAAUUUUCUGCACCAACUCUGCCAACUGAAACAACAGCCAGGACCACAAACAUACCUUGAAAUCACUUGAGCUUUCAGAGGUGGCCAAGUGAGACACAUUUCCCUCAUAACCAACAGCCACCGGAUGUCCAAUGCUUUUGUACACUUGAAACUCUCAGCCCUGCACCAUAUGCAGCACCUGGAGAAAAGACCACUUCUUCCAGCAGGUGGGUGAUCUUUAAGGCAUCCUCUACGUUCACGGAGGGACCCUGAGAAGGGUCACUAGGGCUAAAGGAGCCUACUGAAAUCCCUGGUGUCUGACUUAGUUCUACUGUGCUUUAAUUCUUCUGGGAUAUGGCACUGACACUGGCACCAUUCACAGAACUCCAGUGUUGUGUUACAUCACUGGCUCUAACAACAGCAAGUAAUUGAGAGGGCUGUAAUGCCUUAUCCGAAACUUUGCCUAGCCUUCUCUUAGCCUAGUGCUACUGAGAAGUAAGAUCCUGCUUUCCAGUGCGCAAUUAUUUCCACUGACUUCAUGCUCUCAGUGACACAAUCCAGCUGCCUCACACUUCUGACCCAAAUGUGAAGGAAUGAGUUAUUUUCUCUUGUGGAAAAAAAGUCUGCUAUGAGUCUUGUGCAGAAAACUUAGCAGAAAGUUCUUUGGCAGAUGCCAAAUAAUAUCUUUAACAAAUACUGCCAUCUAACUUGCUCAAAUAGAGCUUGAAUAACAUCCCCUCAGUCAUGUGAGCAAACAGCACAGAAUGGCCACCAGUGCCAGGAGUAACUCCAACACGCAAAGAGCAACACCCACUGCCAAACCACUGCAACACAAAUGUGAAGAGAUACCCAGAGCAACGUUAGUGAGACAUCAGCAGAACUGCUAGCUGAGCAGCCUACAUCAGAAACGAGUACUAUUUGACUUUCAGAGCUGCCUUUCUCUUCUUUCUUGCAUUUCUAAAUGCUAGAGGGCUAAGGAACACUAUUCCAAACAUCAGUUAUUUCAGCAAGAAAAGUUCAAAGGAGUAGAAAGCUUUAUUGCGUACUGAUUUCUCCCUGCCUAAACAUUCAGCUUUCGGCCUAGAAAGAUCAUAGAGAGGGCCUCAAUUCAUUCCAGUUACAGAAGAUACCAAUUAUUCUUACAAUUAGAGAGAAUGCACAACAGAGAGACUGGCAGUCAAAGCAAAGCAGUGCUUCUGGAGUUCAUGUCCUAGUGAGAACAUCCAUCUCAACUUGUUCCAUUGUGCAGCUGCUGGCUUCCAUAUCCGCAUUUACCACAGGUAAAAGUUACAAAUCAAUGUGCGACUGAAAACGUGAGUUAAAAAUCACCCUGUCUCUCCCCAUUAUACAAGCAGCAACAUAGCAGGGUCGGUUACACAACCUGCAGUAACCGUGCGGCUGGAGCAGCAAUGUAUCUUCUCGGGUAGAAGGGACAGCUAUUCCCCAGGCUCUCCCUCCCCUUCCA